GCUCCGAUAGCCCAGUGGUAAGUCUCUCACCUGCAGUGUGGGCAAACUGGAUUCGAAUCCCGCCAUCGGCGCC